GUCCCCGCCCCUUCCGUGUUUCUCCUCGGCUCCCUGAUAGCCCGCCCCUAUCCCUCCCCCCACAAACGCAUCCCCCCGCAACCCCAGGAGUCAAAAUGGACGCUGGGCAGUUGGGAGCGAGUCGGGUCUUCGGUAGUGUGAGAAGAUGCGUGGCGAGCUUAGCGUGAAUUCUGGGCCCCGUCAAUGUUAGAGGCAGCAAAAGUUCGCGAAGCAGAAGGAAGGGGAACCUUUCGUGCGGCUCCUACGCCAAGAGGCGCGCCUGAAACUAUGUCCAAGGCCCGCCCUCGGCUGCCAGGCGCAAUGCCUCAGCCCCGCCCUUUUUGCACAGCCACGGAGCGCCGGAGAGCUCACUGCCGGAGGGGGGCGCCGCGGGGCCGAGGGUGCUUGUUCCGCCCGAGGCAAGGGGACGGAACCGUCAGGGCCGCCGCGCUUCCUACCGGAACCUAGAGCCCCAACGCCGCAGGACCCGUCCCUUGGGCUUAAGCCUGCACAUGGCGGCGCGUGGAUGCCAGAAGUCCAGGCGCAGCCCCCUACCAACCCGGAAUGGGGAGACGGCAGGAGCACUGGGAGACCCGUACGCGCAGAGAAGAGAAAUACUCUAGGCAUAACUAGUCGAGUGGACUCUUGGCAGUCUGGUGGAUGCCAUGGAUUCCCCCAGGUAAUGUUUUAAAAUUUAUAGAUUACAUGCAAUUACAAGUGAAGUCAUUUAUAUUGCCACAGUUAAAAAUUUUUUUAAAAAAUACAAAUUGUGAACCCCUUCCCCCCCCAAAAAAAAAAUCUAAGGACCAUGGACCCCAGGUUAAUUACCCCUGAACCAAAGAUCAACAUUUAUUGAGUAUGUUUUGUGUCAAGAAUUAUUCUAGGUAAAGUUGGAAGAUGUGACCAUACUACAUGGAAUGUAAAAAAAAAAAAAAAAAAAAAAAUGCUUGCUGAAUAGCAUCUAAAUUGUACAAAUUAACUUUAAAAUAACUUUUAACCAAUACAUCAAAAAUGGAGGGGGAAACAAUUAGUACUUUUAAUUCAACUUUUAUUUCUAGUCCUCAAAAAAAUAGAAAUGUAAUAAAUAUAUAUUCUCCAAAGCAAAUGAGUAUUACAAAACUUUUCCCACUCACUUCUCUGGGUAGAUGCAGAUCAAAAUGAUCAGAAGACCCUAGGGUACAUGAAAGUGAUUCCAAGGUUUUCUUGAAUAGAAUCAUACUGUAAUUUGGCAAACUUGAAACCAGAAAUGUUCUAAGAAUCUUAAAACAUUUCUGGUCCAGAACUAUAAACUCUGGACUAAGUUAAAAUUGUACUGGCCUACAAGUCUCCUAAUAAAAAACAAUUACUUUUAUAGAGGAACAUACCAGUUAAAAGAUCUAACUAAAUUAUUUUUGUCAAGUCAUGUAGGGAACAAAAUUUUCUGCCUUUGUGCCCCAUCCUAAGUUAAGGAUUAUCUUUCUCGUUUUUCCUAUAAAUAAUAGCAUUCUCUUCAUUGCAUUCUAAGUAGUAACUGGAAAUAUGCAGGAGUAGUCAUUGAUAUUUUUGUUUAUCACUUCUCUCUUCUGGAAAAGUUAACUGGGUCACACAAAAAUAAUUAGAACAAUUCUUUACUAAUAAAAGAAUUUAUUGCAUUCUAGGAAGAAUGUAAUUUAUCUCUUGGAAAAAAUGUAAUGCUUCAGAAAGCAGGCAAAUUGAUCAUCCUGGUAAGUGCCAGGGCUGUGAAAAGGCAAAUUAGGGAUAAUCUUCAUUUGUUUAAUGAUAAGACACUAGAGAAAACAAAAAUAUUGACACCAUUGAGAUAAAGUAGUUUUCAAGAACCAUGCUUUGGGAUAUAUAAGACUUUAGGAAUUUAGAUUUAGAACUUUAAGGACAUCAAGUGAAACUCCAUUUUUUACAGAUGAGGAAAUCAAGGCACAGCUUGGUUCAGUGACUUGCCCGAGUGACAAACCUAACAAGUGUUGGGUGAGAUGUGAACCCAGAUCUUCAUGACUCCUAAGUCCAGGCCUUAUCUUCUACACCACUUAAUGCAAAUAGAAAAUAAAAAUAGAGAAAAAUCACCAGCUUUCAUAUUCAAUUUGUUGCCAAGGUCUGUUAAUUUCACCUUUACAAGAUCUUUCCUAAGCACCCCCUUUCCCCUCUGACAUAGCUACCACUCAUCAUCUCAUCAUCAGGAGUCCACCUGCCUCUGUUUUUGUCCACUACAAUCCAUUCUCCAUUCAUCUGCCAAAGUGAUUUUCCAAAACUGCAGGUCCAACUAUGUCAUUCUGCUACUUUGUCAACAACUAUGAUUCUCUGUCACUUCCAAGAUCAAGUACAAAAUUCUGGUAUUCAAAACUUUUUCAUAGCCCUCUGCUUUCAUAUUCUUCUCUGGGUAGUGUCUUGCAACUAAACAUUAAAAUUGUUAAAAAUCCUUUGAUGAGUGAUUUUUUUGGGUGGUGAGAUCCUCCAAAUUCUACAAUUUGGGGAAGAUGUGCUGGUUGCAUCCAGUCUCAUAACACUGCAGAAAUUCCUGUAAUAGCAAAGAGAAGAGAUUGCAUGGACAGACAGAAUGAUGUACUGAUAUCACUAGAUCAGUGGUUCUCAAACUUUAUUCUCAGGACCUAGUUACACUCUUAAAAUUUAUUGAAGUUCCCAAAAAACUUGGUUUAUAUGGGCUAUAUCUAUUAACAUUCACCAAAAUAUAACUGGAAACAUUUUGAAACAUGUAAUCAUUAAAAAUUAUGAUAAUAUGCUGACAUAACUUUUCCAAAUUAGAAUCAGAGAGCACUGUUAUACAUAUUUUUACAAAUCUCUUUAAUGAGUAGCUAAAUGGAAGAUAUCAGUAUUCCCAUACAUGCUUCUACAGUCUGUUGUGACAUGUUGUUUUGGUUGAAAUAUAUGAAAAAAAUCCAGCAACACAUAGAAAGUAAUUGGAAAAGGGAGGAGAAUUUGAUAAGCAAAUAACAAAUUAGUAUUAUUAUGAACAUAGUUUUAUCUUGAGAAUUUCCUGGAAGAAGUCCUUGUCCUUAGACAAUGAAAGAGUCUCUAAGAUUCUUGAGGACCACACCUUGAGAAUGGUCUAGAUCUAGAUUUUCAAGAAAAAGUGAAGAAGUCAACCAGAGCCACCUCUUUGGGGACUUAAUUUACUGGUACACUUCACCUAUUAUUGAUUAGUCUACAAAAAUCAGAUAUGGCAGAAUUCAAUAAAUCUAAAUUGAGAAAGGCAGAAGUGAGAAAAAUUCAUUAUCUUGUUCUGUUUAUUGAACAGAAGCAAGCAAUUGUAAUGAAAUCUUUCCUGUCAAUAUUUACUGUACAUUUCACAAACUUUACCUUCUUAAUUUAAUUCUUUUUGAUCUUUAAGUUGCAAAGACUUUUGAUGAAGCUUUAAGAUUGUGAUGCCCUUUUCAAUACCAGAAUGAAAAAAAAAAACAAAAAAACUAUUGACUCUGAAAGAAGGCAUUGCUUUAUUUCACCUUCACAUUUUUUAUGCUUUUUUUCACCUGUCUGGUUAGUUUUGGUCCUGAUGGCAUAAAAAGAGCUUGCACUUUGAUGAAAGAAGAGUCUGAGUAGGAAUUCAGUCAAUUUAGUUACA